rnacentral:rRNA from 1 species
CACGAGGGUCUCACUGUCUUAAGGAAAUUUCCAGUGAAAUUGAAUUUGUAGUGAAGAUGCUACAUCCAAAUUGUUAGACAAGAAGUCCCCAUGGAACUUUACUGGAGACUUAUGUGGCUUAAAUUAAUUUAUUUCUUACAAAUAAAUAGUUUUAAAAUGUGGUGUUAUAAAAGCUCACUCUUUUAUUUAAAGAAAGCCAACUCAAAAAGUUAUGUCUUUGGGAUUUGAUAAGUGGGACAGUUUGGUUGGGGCGACCGCCUUUAAAAAAGUAACGAAGGCGGGCUUAAGAUACAUAUUUAGUGAUGUCUGACUGCCAAGGGGAGAUCCUGAGCAGACACUUACUUUUUAGGUGGGUUUAAGUGACCCGUUGAUUUAGGGUGAAAUAGUUAACGAUAAACA